rnacentral:rRNA from 1 species
GACGAACGCUGGCGGCGUGCCUAAUACAUGCCAGUAGAACGCUGAAGGAGGAGCUUGCUCUUCUGGAUGAGUUGCGAACGGGUGAGUAACGCGUAGGUAACCUGCCUGGUAGCGGGGGAUAACUAUUGGAAACGAUAGCUAAUACCGCAUAAGAGUAGAUGUUGCAUGACAUUUACUUAAAAGGUGCAAUUGCAUCACUACCAGAUGGCCCUGCGUUGUAUUAGCUAGUUGGUGGGGUAACGGCUUACCAAGGCGACGAUACAUAGCCGACCUGAGAGGGGGAUCGGCCACACUGGGACUGAGACACGGCCCAGACUCCUACGGGAGGGAGCAGUAGGGAAUCUUCGGCAAUGGACGGAAGUCUGACCGAACAACGCCGCGUGAGUGAAGAAGGUUUUCGGAUCGUAAAGCUCGGUUGUAAGAGAAGAACGAGUGUGAGAGUGGAAAGUUCACACUGUGACGGUAUCUUACCAGAAAGGGACGGCUAACUACGUG